AGCAGUAGGGAAUAUUGCGCAAUGGGGGAAACCCUGACGCAGCAACGCCGCGUGGAGGAUGACACUUUUCGGAGCGUAAACUCCUUUUCUUAGGGAAGAAUUCUGACGGUACCUAAGGAAUAAGCACCGGCUAACUCCGUGCCAGCAGCCGCGGUAAUACGGAGGGUGCAAGCGUUACUCGGAAUCACUGGGCGUAAAGGGCGCGUAGGCGGAUUAUCAAGUCUCUUGUGAAAUCUAAUGGCUUAACCAUUAAACUGCUUGGGAAACUGAUAGUCUAGAGUGAGGGAGAGGCAGAUGGAAUUGGUGGUGUAGGGGUAAAAUCCGUAGAUAUCACCAAGAAUACCCAUUGCGAAGGCGAUCUGCUGGAACUCAACUGACGCUAAGGCGCGAAAGCGUGGGGAGCAAACAGGAUUAGAUACCCUGGUAGUCCACGCCCUAAACGAUGUACACUAGUUGUUGGGGUGCUAGUCAUCUCAGUAAUGCAGCUAACGCAUUAAGUGUACCGCCUGGGGAGUACGGUCGCAAGAUUAAAACUCAAAGGAAUAGACGGGGACCCGCACAAGCGGUGGAGCAUGUGGUUUAAUUCGAAGAUACGCGAAGAACCUUACCUGGGCUUGAUAUCCUAAGAACCUUUUAGAGAUAAGAGGGUGCUAGCUUGCUAGAACUUAGAGACAGGUGCUGCACGGCUGUCGUCAGCUCGUGUCGUGAGAUGUUGGGUUAAGUCCCGCAACGAGCGCAACCCACGUAUUUAGUUGCUAACGGUUCGGCCGAGCACUCUAAAUAGACUGCCUUCGUAAGGAGGAGGAAGGUGUGGACGACGUCAAGUCAUCAUGGCCCUUAUGCCCAGGGCGACACACGUGCUACAAUGGCAUAUACAAUGAGACGCAAUACCGCGAGGUGGAGCAAAUCUAUAAAAUAUGUCCCAGUUCGGAUUGUUCUCUGCAACUCGAGAGCAUGAAGCCGGAAUCGCUAGUAAUCGUAGAUCAGCCAUGCUACGGUGAAUACGUUCCCGGGUCUUGUACUCACCGCCCGUCACACCAUGGGAGUUGAUUUCACUCGAAGCCGGAAUACUAAACUAGUUACCGUCCACAGUGGAAUCAGCGACUGGGGUGAAGUCGUAACAAGGUAACCGUAGGAGAACCUGCGGUUGGAUCACCUCCUUUCUA
rnacentral:rRNA from 1 species